rnacentral:rRNA from 1 species
GACGAACGCUGGCGGCGUGCCUAACACAUGCAAGUCGAACGGAGUUAAAUUCGACACCCGAGUAUCCGGCCGGGAGGCGGGGUGCUGGGGGUUGGAUUUAACUUAGUGGCGGACGGGUGAGUAACGCGUGAGUAACCUGCCUUUCAGAGGGGGAUAACGUUCUGAAAAGAACGCUAAUACCGCAUAACAUCAAUUUAUCGCAUGAUAGGUUGAUCAAAGGAGCAAUCCGCUGGAAGAUGGACUCGCGUCCGAUUAGCCAGUUGGCGGGGUAACGGCCCACCAAAGCGACGAUCGGUAGCCGGACUGAGAGGUUGAACGGCCACAUUGGGACUGAGACACGGCCCAGACUCCUACGGGAGGCAGCAGUGGGGGAUAUUGCACAAUGGGGGAAACCCUGAUGCAGCAACGCCGCGUGAGGGAAGAAGGUUUUCGGAUUGUAAACCUCUGUUCUUAGUGACGAUAAUGACGGUAG